CUUGACGACCAUAGAGCGUUGGAACCACCUGAUCCCAUCCCGAACUCAGUAGUGAAACGACGCAUCGCCGAUGGUAGUGUGGAGUUUCUCCAUGUGAGAGUAGGUC
rnacentral:rRNA from 1 species